GCCCUAGUAACGGCGAGUGAAGCGGCAACAGCUCAAAUUUGAAAUCUGGCGUCUUUGGCGUCCGAGUUGUAAUUUGCAGAGGGCGCUUUGGCAUUGGCAGCGGUCCAAGUUCCUUGGAACAGGACGUCACAGAGGGUGAGAAUCCCGUACGUGGUCGCUAGCCUUUACCGUGUAAAGCCCCUUCGACGAGUCGAGUUGUUUGGGAAUGCAGCUCUAAAUGGGAGGUAAAUUUCUUCUAAAGCUAAAUACUGGCCAGAGACCGAUAGCGCACAAGUAGAGUGAUCGAAAGAUGAAAAGCACUUUGGAAAGAGAGUUAAAAAGCACGUGAAAUUGUUGAAAGGGAAGCGCUUGCAGCCAGACUUGCCUGUAGUUGCUCAUCCGGGUUUUUACCCGGUGCACUCUUCUAUAGGCAGGCCAGCAUCAGUUUGGGCGGUUGGAUAAAGGUCUCUGUCAUGUACCUCUCUUCGGGGAGAACUUAUAGGGGAGACGACAUGCAACCAGCCUGGACUGAGGUCCGCGCAUCUGCUAGGAUGCUGGCGUAAUGGCUGUAAGCGGCCCGUCUUGAAACACGGACCAAGGAGUCUAACAUCUAUGCGAGUGUUUGGGUGUCAAGCCCGAGCGCGUAAUGAAAGUGAACGGAGGUGGGAACCUUUCGGGGUGCACCAUCGACCGAUCCUGAUGUCUUCGGAUGGAUUUGAGUAAGAGCAUAGCUGUUGGGACCCGAAAGAUGGUGAACUAUGCUUGAAUAGGGUGAAGCCAGAGGAAACUCUGGUGGAGGCUCGCAGCGGUUCUGACGUGCAAAUCGAUCGUCAAAUUUGGGCAUAGGGGCGAA
rnacentral:rRNA from 1 species